UGGGGAAUAUUGGACAAUGGGCGCAAGCCUGAUCCAGCAAUUCCGCGUGGGUGAAGAAGGUCUUCGGAUUGUAAAGCCCUUUCGACGGGGACGAUGAUGACGGUCCCCGUAGAAGAAGCCCCGGCUAACUUCGUGCCAGCAGCCGCGGUAAUACGAAGGGGGCUAGCGUUGCUCGGAAUUACUGGGCGUAAAGGGCGCGUAGGCGGCUUAGUUAGUCAGGCGUGAAAGCCCUGGGCUCAACCUGGGGACUGCGCUCGAUACGGCUAGGCUAGAGGAUGGAAGAGGGUCGCGGAAUUCCCAGUGUAGAGGUGAAAUUCGUAGAUAUUGGGAAGAACACCGGUGGCGAAGGCGGCGACCUGGUCCAUUACUGACGCUGAGGCGCGACAGCGUGGGGAGCAAA
rnacentral:rRNA from 1 species